GUUGGGCAUGUGAUGAAACUUAUUUUGACAAAUGGGUAAUUUGCGUCUGAAUUCUUUCAUUGAUGCUAUACACCUUGGAGACCUGAUGCCCUUA